rnacentral:tRNA from 1 species
GUUAUUUUGGCAGAAAAGUGUGAUAGAUUUAGGAUCUUUUUAUGUAGACAAUUUAGCUACAAAUAAUA